rnacentral:rRNA from 1 species
UGGGGAAUAUUGGACAAUGGGCGAAAGCCUGAUCCAGCCAUGCCGCGUGUGUGAAGAAGGCCUUUUGGUUGUAAAGCACUUUAAGCGAGGAGGAGGCUACUUGGAUUAAUACUCUAGGAUAGUGGACGUUACUCGCAGAAUAAGCACCGGCUAACUCUGUGCCAGCAGCCGCGGUAAUACAGAGGGUGCGAGCGUUAAUCGGAUUUACUGGGCGUAAAGCGUGCGUAGGCGGCUUCUUAAGUCGGAUGUGAAAUCCCUGAGCUUAACUUAGGAAUUGCAUUCGAUACUGGGAAGCUAGAGUAUGGGAGAGGAUGGUAGAAUUCCAGGUGUAGCGGUGAAAUGCGUAGAGAUCUGGAGGAAUACCGUUGGCGAAGGCAGCCAUCUGGCCUAAUACUGACGCUGAGGUACGAAAGCAUGGGGAGCAAACAGG